UACAUAGGUCCCAAGCGUUGUUCGGAUUCACUGGGCGUAAAGGGCGCGUAGGCGGUCGGGUAAGUCUGAUGUGAAAUCUCACAGCUUAACUGUGAAACUGCAUUGGAUACUAUCCGGCUAGAGGAAUGGAGGGGAGACUGGAAUACUUGGUGUAGCAGUGAAAUGCGUAGAUAUCAAGUGGAACACCAGUGGCGAAGGCGAGUCUCUGGACAUUUCCUGACGCUGAGGCUCGAAAGCCAGGGGAGCAAACGGG
rnacentral:rRNA from 1 species